rnacentral:rRNA from 1 species
CCUACGGGGGGCAGCAGUGGGGAAUAUUGGACAAUGGGCGAAAGCCUGAUCCAGCCAUGCCGCGUGUGUGAAGAAGGCCUUCGGGUUGUAAAGCACUUUCAGUGGGGAAGAAAGCCUUGGGGCUAAUACCCUCGAGGAAGGACAUCACCCACAGAAGAAGCACCGGCUAACUCUGUGCCAGCAGCCGCGGUAAUACGGAGGGUGCGAGCGUUAAUCGGAAUUACUGGGCGUAAAGCGCGCGUAGGCGGUCUGAUAAGCCGGUUGUGAAAGCCCCGGGCUCAACCUGGGAACGGCAUCCGGAACUGUCAGGCUAGAGUGCAGGAGAGGAAGGUAGAAGUCCCGGUGUAGCGGUGAAAUGCGUAGAGAUCGGGAGGAAUACCAGUGGCGAAGGCGGCCUUCUGGACUGACACUGACGCUGAGGUGCGAAAGCGUGGGUAGCAAACAGGAUUAGAUACCCGAGUAGGC